rfam:Bodo saltans strain Lake Konstanz genome assembly, contig: BS_scaffold187
AGAUCUUCUCGGCUUUUUAGCUAAGAUCAUGUUUUUAAACUGAUCUUAUCAGAGUAACUCCUGAUAGGGACUUGUUCCCAGGAUCCAAAUUUUAACGCAAUGUUUUCUUGGAGUCACACUAAGUCCAAGAGAACAACUUUUU